GAACGCUGGCGGCGUGCCUAAUACAUGCAAGUCGAGCGAACGGACGAGAAGCUUGCUUCUCUGAUGUUAGCGGCGGACGGGGGAGUAACACGUGGAUAACCUACCUAUAAGACUGGGAUAACUUCGGGAAACCGGAGCUAAUACCGGAUAAUAUUUUGAACCGCAUGGUUCAAAAGUGAAAGACGGUCUUGCUGUCACUUAUAGAUGGAUCCGCGCUGCAUUAGCUAGUUGGUAAGGUAACGGCUUACCAAGGCAACGAUGCAUAGCCGACCUGAGAGGGUGAUCGGCCACACUGGAACUGAGACACGGUCCAGACUCCUACGGGAGGCAGCAGUAGGGAAUCUUCCGCAAUGGGCGAAAGCCUGACGGAGCAACGCCGCGUGAGUGAUGAAGGUCUUCGGAUCGUAAAACUCUGUUAUUAGGGAAGAACAUAUGUGUAAGUAACUGUGCACAUCUUGACGGUACCUAAUCAGAAAGCCACGGCUAACUACGUG
rnacentral:rRNA from 1 species